rnacentral:miRNA from 1 species
UUAUAGUACAAUAAACCAGCCACCUUAUCUUCAGUGGUUAUUAAAAUGCUGUGUGUGUGUGUGUGUGUGUAUAUAUACAUAUACACACACACACACACACAUAUAUAUAUAUCUAUA